rnacentral:rRNA from 1 species
CCUACGGGAGGCAGCAGUGAGGAAUAUUGGUCAAUGGGCGGGAGCCUGAACCAGCCAAGCCGCGUGAAGGAAGAAGGUACUUCGUAUUGUAAACUUCUUUUGUCGGGGAACAAAGGCGGGGACUAGUCCCCGGAUGAGGGUACCCGAAGAAAAAGCAUCGGCUAACUCCGUACCAGCAGCCGCGGUAAUACGGAGGAUGCGAGCGUUAUCCGGAUUUAUUGGGUUUAAAGGGUGCGCAGGCGGUCGUUCAAGUCAGCGGUAAAAUGCCGGGGCUCAACCCCGGCGGGCCGUUGAAACUGGUUGUCUAGAGUUGGAGAGAAGUAUGCGGAAUUCGCGGUGUAGCGGGGAAAUGCAUAGAUAUCGCGAAGAACCCCGAUUGCGAAGGCAGCAUACCGGCUCCACACUGACGCUGAGGCACGAAAGCGUGGGUAUCGAACAGGAUUAGAUACCCUAGUAGUC